UUCGUUUCUGCACUUCCAUUAUAAAUAUUGACGUGAUUUUCUUUUCUCUUUCUCAGGCAAGGGAAUAAUGCUAAGUGGAGAAAACGUGUAAAUGACUAUGAAAUUUCCUAAUAGGAAUUUUAGAGGUUGAUUAUUAUGGAGUCGUUUUACUUGUUUUUAUAGUGGAUUGGUGGGAGUUGACUAACUGAUACAAACCUGAUGAUGUCAGAUGUUGACGUUAUGGGAAUGUCGUAAGCAUGGGCGGAAGAAGAGUGGCAAAAGGGAUUUGUCUAAACUCCAUUCCCUUGAAAAUUACAAUGUGUACGUGAGGUUAAAAGUUUUUUUUUUUAUGGGUAUAUAUUAUUCACUAUUGAAACCCUUGAUUUUUAAUGUAUUUACUUUUCUCGUUUUUUGAAUCCUCACUUUUGUAAGCUAAUUAAGUGUCGAAUACCUACGUUAACG
rnacentral:lncRNA from 1 species